GACGAACGCUGGCGGCGUGCUUAACACAUGCAAGUCGAACGGUGACGAUCAAGCUUGCUUGGUCUGAUCAGUGGCGAACGGGUGAGUAACACGUGAGUAACCUGCCCCAGACUCUGGAGUAACCCCGGGAAACCGGAGCUAAUACCGGAUAUGACAUGCCCCUGCAUGGGGAGUGUGUGGAAAGUUUUUUCGGUCUGGGAUGGACUCGCGGCCUAUCAGCUUGUUGGUGAGGUAAUGGCUCACCAAGGCGACGACGGGUAGCCGGCCUGAGAGGGCGACCGGCCACACUGGGACUGAGACACUGGCCAGACACCUACGGGUGGCUGCAGUCGAGGAUCUUCGGCAAUGAGCGCAAGCUUGACCGAGCGACGCCACGUGUGCGAUGAAGGCCUUCGGGUUGUAAAGCACUGUCGAGGGGGACGAAACCUUUGCAGGUGAAUAGUCUGUGAAACUGACGGUACCACCAAAGGAAGCACCGGCUAACUC
rnacentral:rRNA from 1 species